GCCACGAGCCGAGCAGCCUUGCAGCGUAUGCUACUUCUAGUUGAGCAUCAUUUCAGAUUGAGCACUGCCUCAUAUCGAGCAUCAGUUCAAGACAACAUCUAGUUACUUCGGCCCACACAUGGACUGAAUUUCAAGUCUCCAGCGAAAAGACUCUCUUGACUGAAGACUUGGGGGACUACUGUUUAUACCAUAUUUAGGGUCUCGUAUUUAGACCUCAUAUAAAUACUUAAGGGGCUUAAAUGUAAUUAUGUAAUAAAGGAUGGGGAAAAUAUGUAAUUAGGGGAGGAGCCCUUAUUCUAUAAAAGGCCUCCUCACCCUCACAUUUCCUAAGUCUCUCAUAUCUAGAGCAAAGCUUUCACACUCUCUCCCUCUCAAAUACUCUCAGAUAAAUACAAUCAGUUGGACGUAGCCCAAACCUUGGGGUUCACGAUACAUCUUGUGUUAUUUACAUUUCUUGUAGAUUCAUGGUAAGAUUUACGUUGUUCCAAGACGUCCGGUUUUGUGCAUCAACAUUUGGCACCGUCUGUGGGAACCGACACGAAAAGCUAUAUCGGUUCUCUCUCUCAAUUUUUCACCUCCGCCCUGAAUCUGCAAAGAAAACCCAGGAACCAAACAACCCCACACCCAGAGACACACCCAUUCAAUAUAUAGAGAGAGCCUUCAUAAGCAAAUCAGGUGCAUCUCUCUUGAAUCCGUUGACCAACAGCCUCCAAUUCCAUAAGCAAAUCACAGAGACAGACAACACAACCAAUGGGGCAUUGACCUCUAACUGAUCUCAGCAAUCCAUCAGAUCUGAGACUCUGAUCCCCUCCAAACAACUGAACGUCCGCUCAUCUUUCUCCCUCAUCUCUCUUUCUCUUUAUAUGGCGCUAGAAGAAUCUUCUAACAAUGAAGAACAACGAUCCACGAACACUGAUAACAAUCCCAUCAUCAACGACGAUCAAGAAGGACGUCUCAUCGUCGUCAUUAUCCUCGAAAACCAGAGUUUUUUCUUG
rnacentral:lncRNA from 1 species